rnacentral:rRNA from 1 species
GACGAACGCUGGCGGCGUGCUUAACACAUGCAGUCGCACGGAAAGGCCCUGCUUUUGUGGGGUGCUCGCGUGGCGAACGGGUGAGUAACACGUGAGUAACCUGCCCUUGACUUUUGGAUAACUUCAGGAAACUGGGGCUAAUACCGGAUAGGAGCUCCUGCUGCAUGGUGGGGGUUGGAAAGUUUCGGCGGUUGGGGAUGGACUCGCGGCUUAUCAGCUUGUUGGUGGGGUAGUGGCUUACCAAGGCUUUGACGGGUAGCCGGCCUGAGAGGGUGACCGGCCACAUUGGGACUGAGAUACGGCCCAGACUCCUACGGGAGGCAGCAGUGGGGAAUAUUGCACAAUGGGCGGAAGCCUGAUGCAGCAACGCCGCGUGCGGGAUGACGGCCUUCGGGUUGUAAACCGCUUUCGCCUGUGACGAAGCGUGAGUGACGGUAAUGGGUAAAGAAGCACCGGCUAACUACGUG